GCCGGGCGUGGUGGCACGUGCCUGUAGUCCCAGCUACUUGGGAGGCUGAGGCUGGAGGAUCGCUUGAGCUCAGGAGUUCUGGGCUGCAGUGCACUAUGCCGAUCGGGUGUCCACACUAAGUUCGGCAUCAAUAUGGUGACCUCCCAGGAGCGGGGGACCACCAGGUUGCCUAAGGAGGGGUGAACCGGCCCAGGUCGGAAAAGGUUUUUCACAUCCUUUCUUAGAUUCCUAGGUAUUUUAUCUUUGGGGUUUGAUUAUGAAUUGAAUUGCUUCUUUAUUUUUUU
rnacentral:SRP_RNA from 1 species